rnacentral:misc_RNA from 1 species
AAGUCGUAACAAGGUUUCCGUAGGUGAACCUGCGGAAGGAUCAUUAACACGUAUCCAACGUAAAAAACCCCCCUGUGAACAUUCAAACCUGCUCUCGUAGCCCAGUGCGAUCCAGCAAUCCCGGUAAAUCAUUGUCGAACAGUAUUGAUUCGGGACUUCUGACAAAUGAGAAGUUACAGUUACGAUUGAGCGGAGAUAGCUGCAUGGCAUCCCGAAGCAGUCAGUGUCUGAAAGUGUCAUUGAUUGUCUAAGGAUCUCGCCUCAACGAUUGCCAGAGGUCGCUCACCGACCGGCAGACAUGCAACCUCUGUGAGUCGCGGGAAACUAGCGGCUAAAAAACCUCGAACAACUGUUAACAAUGGAUAUCUUGGUUCUC